CACCCCAGCAAUGGGCAAAGAGACAUCUUGGUGGUGGUGGUGGUGUUCUUAUACCAGUCAGGGGCAUAGCAGAUGGCUUUGUUCAUCCUAGCUUGAUAACUGGCUUGACAGUCAAAGUUGCUUUAUGCCUAGGACUUAUAA